GCGGAGUAGUUCAGUGGUAGAACAUCACCUUGCCAAGGUGGGGGUCGCGGGUUCGAACCCCGUCUUCCGCU
rnacentral:tRNA from 1 species